GACGAACGCUGGCGGCGUGCUUAACACAUGCAAGUCGAACGGUAAGGCCCUUCGGGGUACACGAGUGGCGAACGGGUGAGCAACACGUGGGUGAUCUGCCCUGCACUUUGGGAUAAGCCUGGGAAACUGGGUCUAAUACCGAAUACACCCUGCUGGUCGCAUGGCCUGGUGGGGGAAAGCUUUUGCGGUGUGGGAUGGGCCCGCGGCCUAUCAGCUUGUUGGUGGGGUGAUGGCCUACCAAGGCGACGACGGGUAGCCGGCCUGAGAGGGUGUCCGGCCACACUGGGACUGAGAUACGGCCCAGACUCCUACGGGAGGCAGCAGUGGGGAAUAUUGCACAAUGGGCGCAAGCCUGAUGCAGCGACGCCGCGUGAGGGAUGACGGCCUUCGGGUUGUAAACCUCUUUCAAUAGGGACGAAGCGCAAGUGACGGUACCUAUAGAAGAAGCACCGGCCAACUACGUGCCAGCAGCCGCGGUAAUACGUAGGGUGCGAGCGUUGUCCGGAAUUACUGGGCGUAAAGAGCUCGUAGGUGGUUUGUCGCGUUGUUCGUGAAAACUCACAGCUUAACUGUGGGCGUGCGGGCGAUACGGGCAGACUGGAGUACUGCAGGGGAGACUGGAAUUCCUGGUGUAGCGGUGGAAUGCGCAGAUAUCAGGAGGAACACCGGUGGCGAAGGCGGGUCUCUGGGCAGUAACUGACGCUGAGGAGCGAAAGCGUGGGGAGCGAACAGGAUUAGAUACCCUGGUAGUCCACGCCGUAAACAGUGGGUACUAGGUGUGGGUUUCCUUCCUUGGGAUCCGUGCCGUAGCUAACGCAUUAAGUACCCCGCCUGGGGAGUACGGCCGCAAGGCUAAAACUCAAAGAAAUUGACGGGGGCCCGCACAAGCGGCGGAGCAUGUGGAUUAAUUCGAUGCAACGCGAAGAACCUUACCUGGGUUUGACAUGCACAGGACGCCGGCAGAGAUGUCGGUUCCCUUGUGGCCUGUGUGCAGGUGGUGCAUGGCUGUCGUCAGCUCGUGUCGUGAGAUGUUGGGUUAAGUCCCGCAACGAGCGCAACCCUUGUCUCAUGUUGCCAGCACGUUAUGGUGGGGACUCGUGAGAGACUGCCGGGGUCAACUCGGAGGAAGGUGGGGAUGACGUCAAGUCAUCAUGCCCCUUAUGUCCAGGGCUUCACACACGCUACAAUGGCCGGUACAAAGGGCUGCGAUGCCGUGAGGUGGAGCGAAUCCUUUCAAAGCCGGUCUCAGUUCGGAUCGGGGUCUGCAACUCGACCCCGUGAAGUCGGAGUCGCUAGUAAUCGCAGAUCAGCAACGCUGCGGUGAAUACGUUCCCGGGCCU
rnacentral:rRNA from 1 species